rnacentral:rRNA from 1 species
UACGGAGGGUGCGAGCGUUAAUCGGAAUUACUGGGCGUAAAGCGUGCGUAGGUGGUUCGUUAAGUCCGUUGUGAAAGCCCCGAGCUCAACUUGGGAAUUGCAGUGGAUACUGGCGAGCUAGAGUGCGGUAGAGGAAGGUGGAAUUCCCGGUGUAGCGGUGAAAUGCGUAGAGAUCGGGAGGAACACCAGUGGCGAAGGCGGCCUUCUGGACCAGCACUGACACUCAAGCACGAAGCGUGGGAGCAAACAGG